rnacentral:rRNA from 3 species
UCCAGAGAUGGAUUGGUGCCUUCGGGAACUGUGAGACAGGUGCUGCAUGGCUGUCGUCAGCUCGUGUUGUGAAAUGUUGGGUUAAGUCCCGCAACGAGCGCAACCCUUAUCCUUUGUUGCCAGCGGUCCGGCCGGGAACUCAAAGGAGACUGCCAGUGAUAAACUGGAGGAAGGUGGGGAUGACGUCAAGUCAUCAUGGCCCUUACGACCAGGGCUACACACGUGCUACAAUGGCGCAUACAAAGAGAAGCGACCU